rnacentral:rRNA from 1 species
AUGGAUCCGCUCCGGAGCUACCUGGGGCGGGUCCUCCUCGAGGACGUCACCCCGGUGGUGAUGGUGCUGACCACCCCGCUCGCCGAGGCCGCGUGCCGCAAGAGCGGCCUCAGCUUCGUCGACAUGCUCUCCCCGUUCUCCCUCUUCAAAAAAAUCGACGUGCCCGUUCGCACAGCGAGUGACCAGCCUUACAGGCUCCAACAGUUCAAGAUUCGGAUGGUGUAUGCGUCGGAUGUCCGGAAGCAGGACUGCGAGGUUGCAGAUGCAAGAAUUAAGCUGGUCGUUUCCGAGGCCAACGAGAACGCUCUUCCGGAUUUGCUUUCAGACCCGCCACAGUUGGAAGAUGUACUCAAAAAGCCUGAAGCUGAGUUGUGCCCAUUGUGGAUUAAGAGGUUCAACAGAGAGCUAGUGCGGACACUGUCCUUUUCAGACCAUGAAACAUUUGAUCACCCCGUGGCAUGUCUUUUAGUUGUAUCGUCAAAGGACAAAGAGCCAAUCAGCAAAUUCGCUGAUCUGUUCAACACAAAUCAGUUGCCUCCUCUUUUAAAUGAAGGCAUAAUGGAUCCCCAGAUUCUGAAGCACUAUCUUGUACUUCAUGAACAACAAGAUGGACCACAAGAGAUAGCUGUGAACAUCUUAGCGGAAAUGAGGACCACCCUGGGCGUGAAUGAUUGUAAAUUGCUGAGUAUUAACUCUUCUACACAAGCGGAUGGCAGUGAUGCUGAUAAUUCGUGGUCAACCUAUAAAGCUCAUGGCCUGCACAAUAAUGAAGGAACUUGUUUCCUUAACAUGGAUGAUUUGAACGAGAUAAAGGAUUUUAUGCAAGAUUUUGCUUCUAAUCAUAUCAUUCCCUACAUGGAGCAAAAGAUCCGUGUGCUCAAUCAGCAGGUAGCCACAACAAGAAAGGGCUUCAGAAAUCAGAUAAAGAACUUGUGGUGGAGAAAGAGAGAUGAUGUCCCAGAAGCUGCAAAUGGCCCAAUGUAUACAUUCACCUCCAUAGAGUCGCAGAUCAGAGUUCUCAGUGACUAUGCUUUCAUGUUAAGAGACUACGAGCUUGCUUUGUCCAAUUACAGAUUACUUUCGACAGAUUAUAAGCUUGAUAAAGCUUGGAAGCGUUUUGCUGGUGUUCAGGAGAUGAGUGGACUUUGCUAUUUCAUGUUAGAUCAGUCAAGGAAGGAUGCUGAAUAUUGCAUGGAAAAUGCCUUCACUACAUAUUUGAGAAUUGGAUCUUCUGGUCAGAGAAAUGCUACUAGAUGUGGCCUUUGGUGGGCAGAAAUGCUUAAAACACGAGGACAACAUAGGGAAGCAUCAACUGUUUAUUUCCGCAUAUCAAAUGAGGAACCUUCCUUGCAUUCUGCUGUGCUGCUUGAGCAAGCUGCUUGUUGCUAUUUGCUGUCAAGUCCACAUAUGCUUCGGAAGUAUGGAUUUCACCUCAUCUUAGCUGGCAAUAGUUACUACUUGUCUGAUCAGAAACAACAUGCUGUUCGGGCAUACAGAAACGCUCUGUUUGUCUACAAACAAAAUCCUUGGAGUUACAUCAACAAUCAUGUACAUUUUAAUGUUGGGAGGUGGUAUGGAGUCCUUGGGAUAUUCGAUGUAGCUAUCAAGCACUUGCUGGAGGUUAUUGCUUGUAGCCAUCAGUCGCUGACAACGCAAAGCAUGUUCCUCAAUGAUUUCUUCCAUUUUGUUCAGAGUACAGGGGAAAAGUUUGAUGUAUACAAGCUUCAACUUCCUGUUUUCAACAUGUCAUCACUCAGAGUUGUAAAUGAAGAUCAUCGCACUUACGCAUCAAAUGCAGAUGUUGAUGUUAAUGAAAGCAUUUGGCAGGAGCUGGAAGAAGAAUUGAUCCCAUCAUCAUCUGUUGUUAGAACUAACUGGCUUGACACUCAGCCAAAAUCUUCUCCUUUUAGAAAUAACAAGGCAUGUAUUUGUGUUGCUGGAGUUGAAAGUGAUGGAAACAAUUUCACAGUAUCGAAGCUUGACAUUGUAUUAGGAGGAGGUGAAACCAAAAAAAUACAACUUGAAGUGACUCCAAAAGUUAUAGGUAUUCUGAAGUUAGUUGGGAUAAGGUGGACCCUGUCAGAUUCGGUAGUAGGCUAUCAGUACUUCGAAGUGGCUACACAAAAGAAAAACAAGAAAGGGAAAAGAGGGGCCCGGCGUUCUUUGAACAACAACCUGAUCGUUAUCAAGGGUUUACCUAAACUUACAGGAUAUAUUGAGUGCUUGCCAGCAAAAGCAUUUACUGGUGAUUUACAACUCCUCACGCUGAAUCUGAGAAACCAAUCAGAACAUGCUGUGAAGAAUAUAAAAAUGAAAAUUAGCCAUCCAAGGUUUGUAAUUCCCGGUGAUUCAUCAGACCUUGACCUUGAAUUCCCACAGUGCUUAAGAAAGCAUGUUCAAUCAGACAGCAACACUGUACCCGAAGGUACUAAGGAAAACGUCAAGGGUUCACUAUUUGCAUUUCCUCAGGAUAUUAAAAUUCAAGGUGAUGCCACAUUCUCUUGGCCUAUUUGGUUUCAUGCCGCAACUCCUGGAAACUUCUCUCUUUAUUUGUCUCUCUAUUAUGAAAUGGAGAGUACCACUGACAUUCCGUAUCGCACAUUGCGCAUGCAUUACAAUGUGGAGGUCUUGCCGUCACUUGAUGUGUCCUUUGCUAUAAGUAUGUGCUCAUCAAGAUUCCAAGAGUAUAUUGUGCGAAUGGACGUAAUCAACAAGACUCCAUCAGACUCAUUCGCACUUCAUCAAUUGUCAUGUGUCCGCACUAAAUGGGCAGUUUCAACAUUACCCUCGCGUGAUUCCAUCAGCUUUGUGGAAACAGUACCAGCAAACCAGGCUGUGUCAUGCUUCUUCAAGAUAAAGGAUUUAAGUACAAGUUCAUGUAUUGAGGCGGCAGACGGUUCCUGUGGAAGUGAUAUAGUUUUAUCUCCUGGGGGUAGUACUGAUGUAUUUGAUGUUUCUCGGACUCCUAUCACUGAUUUCCACUAUCAAGAAAGACACCAACAAGGGAAGUUUGCUAAGGUGCCACGUAGUCUACUUGAUUUUAUUCUGAUCUCAAAGGCAGUAGCUGUUAACUCUUCCAAGACAGAACAACUGCUCUCUCAUCAUACCUGCCACUGCAGUGCUCUCAACCAGAAUCCUGUGUGGUGGCUUAUGGAAGGACCUCGAACAAUUACUCAUGAUUUCUCGAAGUCAUGCUGUGAGGCUAACAUCCAACUGGUGAUUCACAAUUCUUCAGACCAUAACACUAGCGUGAGAGUGGUUACAUCUGACUGUAUGCCUGAGAAAAGCCAAACUGCCCCUUCACAUGAAUCUGCCAGUGGUCAGGGUGGAUGGUAUGACGUAUCUCUGGAAAAUGACGUAAAGGCCAUCUCAAGUACCAAGGGGGCACAUUCUCAGAAACAAUCAUCAGAAAGCAUUUCACCGUUUGUUUGGUGCUCAUUGAGUUCCGCUCAAGUUGAUCUGAAACCUGACAGUUCUGCUAAAAUUCCCCUAAAAGUGUGCAUAUUUGCACCCGGAACGUAUGAUUUUUCAACGUAUGAGCUGCACUGGAAAGUGCAUUCAUCUGAGAGUGGACAGGUGGAUGAAAAUGUGACAUCAGGUGGUGGCCAAGGGUAUCCUUUCUAUGUCAAUGUUCUUCAAGGCGCCUGA